AAAACCGACUAGAUAAUAUCAGGAGGUUGAACGGGGAAAUUUAAAUGUACAUGUAAAUCCCAAACCUUAUCAAUAUUUUACUGAUUUGAACAGGUAUUUUAUCUAUAAAGUAUUAACAUUGACAAAUAUCUGAACAGAAAAUACGGAAAUAGGACUUACAAGGUAUUUUUAUUUGUACUGUACAAACAAUAGGAAAUAUCUCACCAGACAGAAUGUAUGGAGAUAGGACGCACAAGAGAGAGAAAAAAACAUAAGGCGUUGGCAUUUCAAAUAGAGGACUAGGAGCUAUCGUAUGUGAUCAUUUCACACGAAGAUCGACUAACUUGCAGAAAGAAAUAAUAAGGUUUAGUCAAAUGUUGUUUAUUGAGGGAAUAGCCUUUAGACAGUUGGAUAUAUUGUGAACAAUAAAAUGUGAACAAGAAACAAGACAACAGAUUUCAUCUAUUUAUACCAUAACAACUUUGGAAACAUUACCAACAGCUGAAUAAAAUUUGAAAAGGCAAUGUUGUCAUACCACGAUUCUAUGAACAGCUACAUGCUUAUUUACGCCGUUUUGAUAUGUAGUGUACUUGGAUUGACUUUAAUUUCAUAUUUUCUAGCACGUACAUUCAAGACAUGCAAACAAUGGAUAAAAUAAUACUUGAUUGUUCAAACAAUGGUUUGGGAAUACAAACUGUAAAACACUGCAUAACAUAAAUCAGUAAAUGUUGGAUGACAUGUGAAGAUGCAGGAAACAAAGGAUGAACUACUGUCGUCCAUGUAUCUUCUUAUAUAUUUAUUAAAUAAAAUCAACUAUGAUGUAACAUUAAGAAAUUGUAUAUUUCUAAACCAUAGCUAUAGUUAACAACACUGACUGGAGGAACAUAUUUCAUGUUUUUUGUUACAUGCAUUUAUAUUGAGAUUUCUCGUUUUGUGAUUUCUUGCCAUUUUAUUCAGUAUGUCGAUGUACGUAACAGACAGUUUGACAUUUUGAUUAAAUUACUUUAUACUUCAUAAUUUCUGACAAAAAUUCCUUUGUACGAUAUAUCUUCAAGUGUCUCCUUUCA